rnacentral:rRNA from 1 species
GAUGAACGCUGGCGGCGUGCCUAAUACAUGCAAGUCGAGCGAACGGACGAGAAGCUUGCUUCUCUGAUGUUAGCGGCGGACGGGUGAGUAACACGUGGAUAACCUACCUAUAAGACUGGGAUAACUUCGGGAAACCGGAGCUAAUACCGGAUAAUAUUUUGAACCGCAUGGUUCAAAAGUGAAAAACGGUUUUGCUGUCACUUUUAGAUGGACCCGCGCUGCAUUAGCUAGUUGGUAAGGUAACGGCUUACCAAGGCAACGAUGCAUAGCCGACCUGAGAGGGUGAUCGGCCACACUGGAACUGAGACACGGUCCAGACUCCUACGGGAGGCAGCAGUAGGGAAUCUUCCGCAAUGGGCGAAAGCCUGACGGAGCAACGCCGCGUGAGUGAUGAAGGUCUUCGGAUCGUAAAACUCUGUUAUUAGGGAAGAACAUAUGUGUAAGUAACUGUGCACAUCUUGACGGUACCUAAUCAGAAAGCCACGGCUAACUACGUG